UGGGGAAUAUUGCACAAUGGGCGAAAGCCUGAUGCAGCAACGCCGCGUGAGUGAUGAAGGUCUUCGGAUUGUAAAGCUCUGUCUUUUGGGACGAUAAUGACGGUACCAAAGGAGGAAGCCACGGCUAACUACGUGCCAGCAGCCGCGGUAAUACGUAGGUGGCGAGCGUUGUCCGGAUUUACUGGGCGUAAAGGGUGCGUAGGCGGAUGUUUAAGUGAGAUGUGAAAUACCCGGGCUUAACUUGGGUGCUGCAUUUCAAACUGGAUAUCUAGAGUGCAGGAGAGGAGAAUGGAAUUCCUAGUGUAGCGGUGAAAUGCGUAGAGAUUAGGAAGAACACCAGUGGCGAAGGCGAUUCUCUGGACUGUAACUGACGCUGAGGCACAAAAAGCGUGGGUAGCAAACAGGAUUAGAUACCCUGGUAGUCCACGCCGUAAACGAUGAGUACUAGGUGUAGGAGGUAUCGACCCCUUCUGUGCCGCAGUAAACACAUUAAGUACUCCGCCUGGGAAGUACGAUCGCAAGAUUAAAAC
rnacentral:rRNA from 1 species